rnacentral:rRNA from 1 species
GAUGAACGCUGGCGGCGUGCCUAAUACAUGCAAGUCGAGCGAACAGAUGAGGAGCUUGCUCCUCUGACGUUAGCGGCGGACGGGUGAGUAACACGUGGAUAACCUACCUAUAAGACUGGGAUAACUUCGGGAAACCGGAGCUAAUACCGGAUAAUAUAUUGAACCGCAUGGUUCAAUAGUGAAAGACGGUUUUGCUGUCACUUAUAGAUGGAUCCGCGCCGCAUUAGCUAGUUGGUAAGGUAACGGCUUACCAAGGCAACGAUGCGUAGCCGACCUGAGCGGGUCAGCGACCACACUGGAACUGAGACACGGUCCAGACUCCUACGGGAGGCAGCAGUAGGGAAUCUUCCGCAAUGGGCGAAAGCCUGACGGAGCAACGCCGCGUGAGUGAUGAAGGUCUUCGGAUCGUAAAACUCUGUUAUUAGGGAAGAACAAAUGUGUAAGUAACUAUGCACGUCUUGACGGUACCUAAUCAGAAAGCCACGGCUAACUACGUG